AACGCACAUUGCGCCCGCCAGCAUUCUGGCGGGCAUGCCUGUCCGAGCGUCAUUUCCACCCUCGGGCCCUGCCUGGUGUUGGGGACCUGCAGCUGCUGCAGCCCCCUAAAGACAACGGCGUGCCUGCCGGGCCCCGAGCGUAGUAACACACCUCGCCUGGGAAGUCCUGCAGCGCCCUGCCGCAAACCAAACACUUACAAGGUUGACCUCGGAUCAGGUAGGAAUACCCGCUGAACUUAA
rnacentral:misc_RNA from 1 species